rnacentral:rRNA from 1 species
AGCGAACAUUGGCGGUAGGCUUAACACAUGCAAGUCGAGCGAGGCGUAAUAGUCGAGCGGCGAACGGGUGAGUAAUACAUGGAAAUCUACCCUGAAGUGGGGGAUAACGUUCAGAAAUGAACGCUAAUACCGCAUAAUCCAUAUUGGGAAAGCGUUGCAGCGCUUUAGGAUGAGUCCAUGGCUGAUUAGCUUGUUGGUGAGGUAAAGGCUCACAAAGGCGACGAUCAGUAGCUGGUCUGAGAGGAUGACCAGCCACACUGGAACAGAGACACGGUCCAGACGCCUACGGGAGGAAGCAGUGGGGAAUAUUGCGCAAUGGGGGCAACCCUGACGUAGCCAUACCGCGUGAGUGAUGAAGGUCUUCGGAUUGUAAAGCUCUUUCGGCGGGGACGACGAUGACGGUACCCGCAAAAGAAGUCACGGCUAACUUCGUGCCAGCCGCCGCGGUAA